CCAGAGGUGAAAACCGCAUUCCGUACGGUUACACUUCUCAGGCAGCUGUGUUGUUUUGUUUACCUUUUUGAAAAUGUGUGAAUAUUGAAUAAAAGGUUUUAAAACAAUUAAUGCAAAAUGGAUGCAUGCAGCAGAUUGCUUUUUUGUAAUUGGCGCCUCUUGCAUGCUCUGAGGAGGAGGACAAUCAACGAAAUAAGCGCUGACAACAUUGAUUAAACACGUAUCUGCAGGAAAGAAACCAGGACGGCCGUUGUCUAUACAGUAUUAUAAAUCAUAUAAAUAUGUGUACAUUUAUGGAAACCCAUGAAAUGAUACCCUUUGCAUAUUCCGCAGAUUGAAAAAUAUGACAGAGAAUUUGCAUAUGGCUGGGAAUAACAUCUGCAGACUUCUUUGAUUGGUGGAGCAGCAAAGCCGUUCCAAGGAAUAUUUGCGGACGUUGCAAAGUUGUAAAACGGCGCCUCCAAGCACCUAUUCAAAAUUGGAUAGUUUUGAGUCCAAAUCGCCGCCUUCGCCCCCUGGCACGACCCUGAGGAGCAGUACUUGGUCCCAAAAGGAAAACAAC
rnacentral:lncRNA from 1 species